AAUGUAAGAAACCUACUGAGACAGUGAUUGGUAUAGUUUCGUGUGUGAUGAGAGGUUGAGUAAGAGGUCUCCCAUCGAUAGCCUCUACUGCUAUGGGUCUGUAUUUCUGCCUUAAAGGCAGAAGAUGUUUGGCAGAAAAUUCCUUAUCAAGGAAAUUCUCCGCUGCCCCAGAGUCAAUCAUGGCCUCACACUGAACAGUAGUUUUCUUACAAAACAGAGUGAUUGUUAUAAGAAAGCGGUUCUUAGUCAAUUUAGGAGACAUAUACAUCACACCUAAGGUCGGUCCCCGAACUUGCCUUAGGUGUACAAGUUUUCUGGCCAAACCGGAC